rnacentral:rRNA from 1 species
UACGUAGGUGGCAAGCGUUGUCCGGAAUUAUUGGGCGUAAAGCGCGCGCAGGUGGUUCCUUAAGUCUGAUGUGAAAGCCCCCGGCUCAACCGGGGAGGGUCAUUGGAAACUGGGGAGCUUGAGUGCAGAAGAGGAUAGUGGAAUUCCACGUGUAGCGGUGAAAUGCGUAGAGAUUUGGAGGAACACCAGUGGCGAAGGCGACUGUCUGGUCUGUAACUGACACUGAGGCGCGAAAGCGUGGGGAGCAAACAGG